rnacentral:rRNA from 1 species
GAUGAACGCUGGCGGCGUGCCUAAUACAUGCAAGUCGAGCGAACAGACGAGGAGCUUGCUCCUCUGACGUUAGCGGCGGACGGGUGAGUAACACGUGGAUAACCUACCUAUAAGACUGGGAUAACUUCGGGAAACCGGAGCUAAUACCGGAUAAUAUAUUGAACCGCAUGGUUCAAUAGUGAAAGACGGUUUUGCUGUCACUUAUAGAUGGAUCCGCGCCGCAUUAGCUAGUUUGUAAGGUAACGGCUUACCAAGGCAACGAUGCGUAGCCGACCUGAGAGGGUGAUCGGCCACACUGGAACUGAGACACGGUCCAGACUCCUACGGGAGGCAGCAGUAGGGAAUCUUCCGCAAAGGGCGAAAGCCUGACGGAGCAACGCCGCGUGAGUGAUGAAGGUCUUCGGAUCGUAAAACUCUGUUAUUAGGGAAGAACAAAUGUGUAAGUAACUAUGCACGUCUUGACGGUACCUAAUCAGAAAGCCACGGCUAACUACGUG